rnacentral:rRNA from 1 species
UAUACAGUAUGCUCCUAAGCGAAAGCGAUAAAGUUAUCCACCUGGGGAGUACGCCGGCAACGGUGAAACUCAAAGGAAUUGACGGGGGCCCGCACAAGCGGAGGAACAUGUGGUUUAAUUCGAUGAUACGCGAGGAACCUUACCCGGGAUUGAAAUGUAGAUGACCGCUCCCGAAAGGGAGUUUUCCUUCGGGACAUCUAUGUAGGUGCUGCAUGGUUGUCGUCAGCUCGUGCCGUGAGGUGUCGGCUUAAGUGCCAUAACGAGCGCAACCCCUGUCUACGGUUGCCAUCAGGUAAUGCUGGGAACUCCGUAGAGACUGCCGUCGUAAGGCGUGAGGAAGGUGGGGAUGACGUCAAAUCAGCACGGCCCUUACAUCCGGGGCGACACACGUGUUACAAUGGUAAGGACAAAGGGCAGCUACCUGGCGACAGGAUGCGAAUCUCUAAACCUUAUCACAGUUCGGAUCGGAGUCUGCAACUCGACUCCGUGAAGCUGGAUUCGUUAGUAAUCGCGCAUCAGCCAUGGCGCGGUGAAUACGUUCCCGGGCCUUGUACACACCGCCCGUCAAGCCAUGGGAGUCUGGAGUUCUUAAAGUCCGUGACCGCAAGGGUCGGCCUAGGGUAAUACAGGUGACUGGGCUAAGUCGUAACAAGGUAGCCG